UUAAAUCACUUUUAGUCUAUUCGAUAGUCUCUUACUACUUGGAUACCCGUACUAAUUCUAGAGCUAAUACAUGCAUAAACACUCGACCUUUGGAAGAGUGGUAUUUAUUAGAUUGAAACCAACCUGUUUCGGCAGUGUUCUGGUGAUUCAUAAUAACUUUGCGAAUCGCAUGGCUUUCGCCGGCGAUAGAUCGUUCGAGAUUCUGCCCUAUCAGCUUUGAUGGUAGUGUAUUGGACUACCAUGGCUUUAACGGGUAAC
rnacentral:rRNA from 1 species